rnacentral:rRNA from 1 species
ACUCCUACGGGAGGCAGCAGUGGGGAAUAUUGCACAAUGGGCGCAAGCCUGAUGCAGCCAUGCCGCGUGUGUGAAGAAGGCCUUCGGGUUGUAAAGCACUUUCAGUCGUGAGGAAGGUAGUGUAGUUAAUAGCUGCAUUAUUUGACGUUAGCGACAGAAGAAGCACCGGCUAACUCCGUGCCAGCAGCCGCGGUAAUACGGAGGGUGCAAGCGUUAUCCGGAAUCAUUGGGUUUAAAGGGUCCGCAGGCGGUCAAUUAAGUCAGAGGUGAAAUCCUAUAGCUUAACUAUAGAACUGCCUUUGAUACUGGUUGACUUGAGUUAUACGGAAGUAGGUAGAAUGUGUAGUGUAGCGGUGAAAUGCAUAGAUAUUACACAGAAUACCGAUUGCGAAGGCAGCCUACUACGUAUAUACUGACGCUCAUGGACGAAAGCGUGGGAGCGAACAGGAUUAGAUACCCUGGUAGGUGA